rfam:Bat coronavirus HKT9-2, complete genome.
GAUAAAAGGUAAUAGCUGCGUGCUAGAACCGCUCUCCCCCCGUUUCGUCUUGUACGAAUCACUCUUGAACGAACUUAAAAUUGCAUCAUACGUCACAGUGGGUUUCGUUCCGCUGUGCGUAAGUUGCACACAAAUUUUAGUGUAGCUUUUGUGUUAGGCACUUCCUUCUUGCGACCAGCGGGUUUCGUCCUGUCUGUUAGCCCUGCGUAGGUUUCGUCCUCGCAGUGAUGGAAGGUGUACCUGACCCACCUAAGCUUAAAAGUAUGGUGA